rnacentral:misc_RNA from 1 species
UCUAUAAUUGAUUGAAGUGUGAACCCUAACUCUGGAAUACUUGUUGAUAUUUCAAUUUAGUUAAUCUACUCUCAUUUACUUACUAGUCAUAAUUAACUUAGUUUAUAAUUUUCUCUCAAAUUUGAUAGUCAAAAUAAUUAUAAUUGUUGUUUGGUUAUGUACUCAACACGGUCCUCAUGGGAAUGAUACUCACUCAUCACUUUCAUUACUUAUUAACGAUCCGUGCACUUAAGAGAUUUUGCACAAUAAGUUUUUUGCGUCGUUACUAGGGAUCGAUGAUUUGAUAUUAGACAAUAAGCAAUUUAAUUAAUUUAAACAUUUCAUUUCGUUUAGCUAUUACUAGUAUACCUUACUUUGUUCCUUUUGCUUCAAUAUUUUUCAGGAUCUUCUAUUUAGUUUAUGACCAGAACUAAACCAAAAGAAGAACUACUUGAAUUGGAUCCGCAGAUGGACAGAACUUUAAAAGCCAUCAAAAAGGGAAAGAAGAAUAAGAAACUAAAACUCCAACCAUGGCAGACAAUCAUCCAAAACCUUUGAGAGACUAUAGAGCUUUUACUAUUCGAGGAUUCCAACCAAGUGUAACUAGACCGGCAACAGAUGCUAAUAACUUUGAGCUGAAACCAGCAUGGCUUCAGAUGAUUCAAUAAUCUCAAUUUGGAGGAUCACCAAUGGAGG